CCUACUGUUGCUUCGGCGGGAUUGCCCCGGGCGCCUCGUGUGCCCCGGAUCAGGCGCCCGCCUAGGAAACUUAAUUCUUGUUUUAUUUUGGAAUCUUCUGAGUAGUUUUUACAAAUAAAUAAAAACUUUCAACAACGGAUCUCUUGGUUCUGGCAUCGAUGAAGAACGCAGCGAAAUGCGAUAAGUAAUGUGAAUUGCAGAAUUCAGUGAAUCAUCGAAUCUUUGAACGCACAUUGCGCCCGCCAGUAUUCUGGCGGGCAUGCCUGUCUGAGCGUCAUUUCAACCCUCAUGCCCCUAGGGCGUGGUGUUGGGGAUCGGCCAAAGCCCGCGAGGGACGGCCGGCCCCUAAAUCUAGUGGCGGACCCGUCGUGGCCUCCUCUGCGAAGUAGUGAUAUUCCGCAUCGGAGAGCGACGAGCCCCUGCCGUUAAACCCCCAACUUUCCAAGGUUGACCUCAGAUCAGGUAGGAAUACCCGCUGAACUUAAGCAUAUCAAUAAUCGGAGGAA
rnacentral:rRNA from 1 species